UGAUUAACAGGGACAGUCGGGGG
rnacentral:siRNA from 1 species